rfam:Klebsiella pneumoniae IS43, WGS project CBWK01000000 data, contig: c23
GCAUCUGCAAAAUCAGAUGACGGGAUUGACCUCCUGAAACACUUCACUGACGACACAAGGCGCGUCUGCGCUUUUUUG